rnacentral:lncRNA from 1 species
CACGUCGCCUUGUAACAUCCCCGGAAAUUUAAAUGAAAUAUAUGUAUUAAAAAGGUCAAAUACGGAAGCGUAAUAAAAAUUUUGAUUAAAUUCCCUUACACAAUAACCAAAACAUACUCAAAACAUGAAAGAACAAACUAACGAAAAGAGAUACUCGAGAUAAGAACUAUAAAUAUAGUUAUGGAAUCUUUAGGCGUCCCCUUCGCUGUCUUCCUGCAGAACGGGCUCGGGAACAAUGUCUUCCUGAUAUGAAAUGGUUAAAUAAGGAAUGAGGUACACUAGCCCAGUAAAGACAUCACACUAUCUCACCGCCACAGAAGUAAAGGUGGGU